CUCCCCCUCCACACGUCGGACCACCUGGAGGGAUUUACCUCCGAUUGUUGAAGGUAUUUAACCGGCUUCAGUAGGACGAACAUUUACAAUAGCUCCUGAUGAUGGCGUGUCUGCACGCUGAAACGCGCAUCGAGCGCUUACUUUCAUUUAUUUAUGUUUUUCUUUUUACACUAGGUAGCACUUAGGUAGUCAGUAUGUUUUGAUUUAG